CUUUCUCCGAGCUCGCGUUGCGGUUUAGGCACUCCGCCCGGGAAGAGCGAAAGGGCACGGCAGAUAUGAAUAUAUAUCUAUGCGACCUUCUUCUCGCAUCCCACUUCUCCCCCUCUCCCUUCCCCCGUGCUGUGCGGUGCCAUGUCGAGGUCGCAGAUAAGUAGGUGCAGCUCGCUAAUCAUUGCCUCUUCUUAACUAGCAGGCCCGCAACCACCUCCUGCCCUGCCCGUGGCUGGAUUUCUUUGUUUUUUUUUUGUUCACACACACUUACCUCCCGUCACGUACUGCUGCUGCUAGCAUUACUUUUUGUCCAGUCUUCUCCUUCGUCUUAGAUAUCACGGCUGGGUUCCUCUCCUCGCGGGGCCGGCCUCCCUCGUCUCCCUUGUCCCCUUCCUCUCUUCACAGCAGUAUAUCAUCAUCGCCGAGGGCCCGUCCGAUCUCUUCGUCCACACUUUUUGUUUUGUUUGCUGAUUGGCGUGCGUGCGGUUUCUUGGUCCUAGAACCAGUCCCUGACCAUCUUUGCUUGCGCAAUUUGGUUUCUUGCAUAAGCAUUCGCCUUUGACUGCUUCUUUCCAAGGCCCACCAACCACCUUCAAUUCAAUGUGCUCAUUCAACAAUUCUGCCUCUUCCUCUUGAUGCAUACGUAGCCCCCGUCCAAGAAGCGUCAGAUCAUGGCAUUCCACGCUGCAGCUCCAGCUCCUGCCGGAUGGAAAGCGUUGACUUUGUUGGUUCAUCGGUUCUGCUAGCACUUUCCUUCAGUUCAGCCCAUCUCUUCCCGGUUGGGAGGUAAAAAUCCUUUCUUUUCCUUUCCUCGGUGGGUGGCCGACAUCCCUCCGGGCCGCGAUCUGAUCGACCCCGGCGCGGCGCAGAGCACCACGAGUCUCCCGUCCCGUGCUUGCUGCUCCUUCCUUCCUUGGAUCCCAGGACCAGGAGUAGGAGUGGUGGUGGGGUAGCUGCCGCAGCCUCUUGUCCUGUCCCCCCCGCCCGCCGGUCGAUAAAGAUUCGCCGAUUCCGUCUUCGUCUUGGUCCGGCCGUUCCAUCCAUCCAUCCAUCGGCAGCGGCGACGAUGGGCAACACCUGCGUCGGCCCCAGCAUCGGCAAGAACGGCUUCUUCCACUCCGUCUCCACCGUGCUCUGGACCAGGCGCCCCGACGGCGAAGCCCUGCCCGCCGCCAACGCCAACGCCAAUGGAGGCGUCGCGGACCGGGCCCCGCCGCCGGACGCGCCGCUGGCCGGCCACAUCGUGAGCAAGGCGCCCGAGCCCGUCAAGAUCGCCUCCGGCGCCGCCAACGCCAAGCCCGAUGAGGCGGCGCAACCCAAGCCCAAGGCCAAGCCGCCGGUGCAUCCCAAGCCCGCCCCCGCCAAGGAGCAGGAGUCCAAGGCGUCCACGGACUCGUCCAGCAGCUCCGGCUCCGGCUCCGGCGGCGAGGCCAAGCCGCCGCACCACCGGCCCAAGGUACCCCCGGUCAAGCGCGUGUCCAGCGCCGGCCUGCUCGUCGGCUCCGUGCUCAAGCGCAAGACGGAGAGCGUCAAGGAGAAGUACAGCCUGGGGCGGCGGCUCGGGCAGGGCCAGUUCGGCACCACCUACCUCUGCGUCGAGCGGAGCUCCGGCAAGGAGUACGCCUGCAAGUCCAUCCUCAAGCGCAAGCUCGUCACCGACGACGACGUGGAGGACGUGCGUCGGGAGAUCCAGAUAAUGUACCACCUGGCCGGCCACCCCAACGUCAUCUCCAUCCGGGGCGCCUACGAGGACGCCGUCGCCGUGCACCUCGUCAUGGAGCUCUGCGCCGGCGGCGAGCUCUUCGACAGGAUCGUGCAGAAGGGACACUACACCGAGCGGAAGGCCGCCGAGCUCGCCAGGGUCAUCGUCGGCGUCGUCGAGGUGUGCCACUCCAUGGGCGUCAUGCACCGGGACCUCAAGCCCGAGAACUUCCUCUUCGUCGACCAGACGGAGGAGGCCGCGCUCAAGACCAUCGACUUUGGUCUCUCCGUCUUCUUCCGGCCUGGUCAAAUAUUCACCGACGUUGUCGGAAGCCCCUACUAUGUCGCGCCGGAAGUCCUGAAGAAGAAAUAUGGCCCCGAGGCAGACGUCUGGAGCGCCGGUGUGAUCAUCUACAUUCUGUUGUGUGGCGUGCCGCCAUUUUGGGCAGAGAACGAGCAGGGCAUAUUCGAAGAGGUUCUACACGGGAAACUCGACUUCGAGUCAGAUCCAUGGCCCAGCAUCUCCGAAGGCGCCAAGGAUCUCGUGAGGAGAAUGCUCCUCAGGGACCCCAAGAAGAGACUGACUGCCCAUGAAGUUCUACGGCAUCCAUGGGUUCAGGUUGGCGGUCUGGCUCCUGACAAGCCUCUGGACUCUGCUGUUCUAUCCCGUAUGAAGCAGUUCUCGGCCAUGAACAAGCUGAAAAAGAUGGCUCUCAGGGUGAUUGCGGAGAACUUGUCCGAGGACGAGAUCGCCGGCCUCAAGGAGAUGUUCAAGAUGAUCGACUCGGACAACAGCGGGCAGAUCACGUACGAGGAGCUCAAGGUGGGGCUCAAGAAGGUGGGCGCCAACCUCCAGGAGUCGGAGAUCUACGCGCUCAUGCAGGCCGCGGACGUGGACAAGAGCGGGACGAUCGACUACGGUGAGUUCAUCGCGGCGACGCUGCACCUGAACAAGGUGGAGCGGGAGGACCACCUGUUCGCGGCGUUCCAGUACUUCGACAAGGACGGCAGCGGCUACAUCACCCCCGACGAGCUGCAGCUCGCGUGCGAGGAGUUCGGCCUCGGCUCCGACGACCUCAGCCUCGACAACAUGAUCAGAGAAGUCGACCAGGACAACGACGGGCGCAUAGACUACAACGAGUUCGUGGCGAUGAUGCAGAAGCCGGCGCUGGGGCUGGCGAAGAAGGCCGGGGCCGGGCUGGAGAGCAGCUUCAGCAUCGGCUUCAGGGAGGCGCUGAGGAUGGCUUGAUGGAGGAGGAGGAGCUAGGUGGUAGUCAUGGCGACGCUAAUUUCGUUCUGCCCGUCGAAGACGCUUUGUUGUAGAGACAUGGUGAGGUGAUUGAGUUUUCAUAGGGUUGAAGUGGCAGCAGCUCCUGGCGAGUAGCAGAGGGUCGGGACUCGGGACAACGUGGGUGUAGUAGAGGCAGGCAGGCAGGCAGACAGCCCCGGUGAUUUUCUGCUCGCUACUGGAUUGGUUCAAUUGUGUAUUAUACUGAGCAUAUAAACUACAAAAGGCUUUUCCCCUCCCUGUAUACAGUACGGUUAGAAGUGAAACCUGCACAAGUUGGAUUAGUUUUUUUUUCUUUUUUGCGGAUGAAACGAGAUUGUAUUAGUUAAGAAAAGGUGUUACACUCGUUUUCACAAAUAAGAGAAAGAUCCUUGGGCCCGGAGCCUAGUACGCUGGGUGGUGCGUACCCUAUGAGCUAGACAAUGGGUGGCACUGUUGGCUGAUCUCCAGACAUGGCCAAAACUAUU
rnacentral:rRNA from 1 species